rnacentral:rRNA from 1 species
GAUGAACGCUGGCGGCGUGCUUAACACAUGCAAGUCGAACGGAAAGGCUCCUGCUUGCAGGGGUACUCGAGUGGCGAACGGGUGAGUAACACGUGGGUGAUCUGCCCUGCACUUCGGGAUAAGCCUGGGAAACUGGGUCUAAUACCGGAUAGGACGAUGGUUUGGAUGCCAUUGUGGAAAGUUUUUCGGUGUGGGAUGAGCUCGCGGCCUAUCAGCUUGUUGGUGGGGUAAUGGCCUACCAAGGCGUCGACGGGUAGCCGGCCUGAGAGGGUGUACGGCCAUAUGGGGACUGAGAUCGCGCACGGCCCCCGCCGGGAGGCGGCAGGGGGGAAUUUGGCACAAGGGGAGCAGGCCGAAUGCAGCCACCCCGCGUGGGGGAGGGCGCCUUUCGGUUUAAACACUUCUUCCCCGGGGGACGAAGCGAAAGGAGCGGUCCCUGGAAAAAAGACCCGGCCAAGCUCCGUG